UUUUCUUUGCUGGCUGCUCCUAUUACUGCACUCACUAAGAGAAGCACCAAGACAUUUUCUUGAACAUGUGAAACCAGCAGGUGUUUGAUAAUCUAAAGACUUGAUUCAUGUCUGCCGCCAUUUUGAGACACCCUGACCAAUUCAUGGAGGUCGAUGUGUUUAGUGUCAGUAUGGCAGCUGUGUUAUC